rnacentral:rRNA from 1 species
CGCAGGGGGGCAGCUACACAUGCAAGUCGAGCGAGAACUUCGGUUCUAGCGGCGGACGGGUUAGUAACGCGUGGGAACGUGCCCUUCACUACGGAAUAGUCCCGGGAAACUGGGUUUAAUACCGUAUACGCCCUUCGGGGGAAAGAAUUUCGGUGAAGGAUCGGCCCGCGUUAGAUUAGAUAGUUGGUGGGGUAACGGCCUACCAAGUCUACGAUCUAUAGCUGGUUUUAGAGGAUGAUCAGCAACACUGGGACUGAGACACGGCCCAGACUCCUACGGGAGGCAGCAGUGGGGAAUCUUAGACAAUGGGCGCAAGCCUGAUCUAGCCAUGCCGCGUGAGUGAUGAAGGCCUUAGGGUCGUAAAGCUCUUUCGCCAGGGAUGAUAAUGACAGUACCUGGUAAAGAAACCCCGGCUAACUCCGUGCCAGCAGCCGCGGUAAUACGGAGGGGGUUAGCGUUGUUCGGAAUUACUGGGCGUAAAGCGCGCGUAGGCGGAUUGGAAAGUUGGGGGUGAAAUCCCAGGGCUCAACCCUGGAACUGCCUCCAAAACUAUCAGUCUAGAGUUCGAGAGAGGUGAGUGGAACUCCGAGUGUAGAGGUGAAAUUCGUAGAUAUUCGGAAGAACACCAGUGGCGAAGGCGGCUCACUGGCUCGAUACUGACGCUGAGGUGCGAAAGUGUGGGGAGCAAACAGGAUUAGAUACCCUGGUAG